AUCUCCUGAAGCAACACCUGUUCCAACCUUGGUUUAUGCAGGCUUUGAGUUCGGAAGAGCUGGAGAAAAUCUUCCUUUGGCUACUCAGUCCUAUUCAGGGUUCAUGAACACAAGAGUCAUUUUGUGUCCAGUACAAUUAUUGAUAAAGAAUUAUAAACUAAUAAGGCAAUUGCUACAGAAUAAGAUUUCAGCUAACAACGUGGAUGUCAAAGCACAUACAGGUGGCUCAAAACAACUACUGGAUCCCUCUCAAAUUGACAUUGAAAUGGUCUCAUACCUUCAUCACACCUAUCAAGCAGUAUUGCUGAAGAUACUAGGAAGCAGUUAUAUUUGUUUAUGGUUCCUUAUGCCUGGCAGAAACUUUCAAAAGCUGAAAAAGUUGGUUAUUUUUUGUCGUUGUUGUUUUUUGUUUGUUUGGGUGGUUUGGUUUUAGCUUUGUUGUUUUUUUGUUCCCCCCACCAAGGAAUAAUUAGGCCUAUGCACAUUCUAAGAAAGCACAGUAUUUGUAACAGUAUCCCAUUUAAAUUCAUACUAUUCUCCCCUACCCUGAGGAUGAAAAACUGUUGUGUUUUUUGUUUGUUUGUUUUGGUUUUGUUGUUUGGUUUUUGCUUGCUUUUUUUUUAAAAGAAAAAAAAAGUAUAUGUUGCAGAUGUUCAUGGGUCUGAUAACUUCUUACAGAGAACACCUUAUUCGAAUACUUUUGUCAGACAAUGGCCAAAAGAAAAUUAAACAUGAUAUUUAAGACGUUCAUAUCAUGCACGUACAUUUGGUUUUAUAAUCAUCCCUCAAAUGCUUCUGUUUCUUUCAGUAGCAGAAAACAUGCUUUAGCUGCCUCUGUCACCUGGCUGAAGAAUAAAAAAAAUAAAUAAAAAGUUACUGUGUGCAGUUAAUAUCGAACAGCAGCCAUCUCCAGAUGAUCCCUGCUGCAUCCAAUUUCUGCCAAAAUGCUUUCUGUUAAACCUCCAUCAAACAGACACACGGCGCACAAAAGAAAACCUCAUCACCAAGGGAAACUAAUCCACUGGUGCGCAAUGUAAGCCUGUCAACUUUUUAUUAUAAGAAGUCAUCACUCAUUUCAGUGAAGAUUAAAAGUAUGACUAAAUUGAGAAAAUCCUCUUAGCCAUUUGGAAUUUUAAUAGAGGAGAAAAGGGGGAUGGAGUUAAAUAGGUAACUGGUCUCAAAGAGGGAAAAGGAAAAAAGAAGGGGAAAAAAUGUGAGGACUUGCUUCUGCUGAAUAUUUUAGCUGAUGAUAUCUCAUUCGUGUGGCAGACCGGUAACAGGAAAAUAAAUGACUCUCAUCCUUUUGGAGAAGACAGCAGAGUCUGGAAAUGUUGCUAAAGUACCUUGCCUGAGGGUGUCAGAUGGGAAAGAGUGGGGGAGGUACACGAAGUGUGCAGGAGCAGUGCCAUCCACAUGAGGGGAAUUCACUGUGUCGAAGAAAGAACAGCCGGCUUCCUUUUGUUACUGCUGUGGUGUACUUUUCCCUCCUAACUCUGAGACAGGGCCUGAAAUGCAAUAUGGAAAUUACUAAUAUGACAGAGAAAUAUGAGGCAGUCUACACUGCACAAAGAGAUAGAUGAAGACAGAGAACAUCAGGAAGGUCAGUCUCCAGUAUUAUUUCAGUAUUGGUCCACACACAGGUUUCUUCUCUCUGCAAUGUUUCUGUGGUAAAAUUUUCUCAGACAUUUUAAUGAUUUAGUUAGCAAAAAAGGGACAUCAGUUCUCUUCUCUUAAAUGAGUAUACAGUUUACCUCGAAUGAAUUGUUCUCCAGAUAAAAGCAUACAGUAGAGCAACAUACAAAUGGUACAGUCACUAAAAGUUUUUUCUUCUCUUUAAUGUCUUGAAGAAACUAUUAUAGACUAUAUACUAAUAAAUUACUUUAGUAGUGAAAGAUCUUUAACAGUCUAAAAACAUCCCAUUGACUUUACAGUGACUAUGUGCAGGGAGUAGGUAUUCCUUACUGAAAAUGUCUUUUUGGAUGAGAUGUUACAGUGAAUUAAUUUUUCUAAGCAGCAGCAACACAUAGCAUGAUAAAAGAGAGGCAUUACACUAAAUAAGAGAGACGGAGAGUCAUUAGUCUGGAAUGCACAAAUUAUUAUGGCAUCCCGUAACUACUACUAUAUGGAAGCUUUGCUUGUCACAUCUCUGUAAAAGCAUGAUUUAAA